CAUACCUGCCAACUGUCACUAUUUGCGGGGGAUUUCCCCCAUUGAGGCUACCAAAUUGAGAUUUUAAAAGAGCAAUUUUGUCCACAAUUUAAACAAAAUAAUUUGUUAUACAAUGGCUAUAGGCUUGUAAGAGUAUGAAGAAGCCAAAAAACAACAUUAAACAUAUUUGAAGGCCCCCUUGAUGGUUUUGUAGAACUAUAGGCUUGUAAGAGUAUGAAGAAGCCAAAAAACAACAUUAAACAUAUUUGAAGGCCCCCUUGAUGAUUUUGUAGAACUAUAAGAUCCAUCUUGCACAUAAAACCC
rnacentral:lncRNA from 1 species